CCUCUCAGAGCAGUAUUGUAUUAUGUGAAUCACACUUGACCCAAUUAUAUUUGUGUUAUGAAUUUAGACAAUAAUCCAGCACAUACAAUAUUAUAAUAUGGUAUAUAAUAAUAUAACAAUGAUUAUAUUAUAUAUUCUAUAUAUAUAUUCUAAAUUUGAACCUGAAAAGCAAAAAUAACUAAAAACUGCUUCGUGCCAAAGCCUAAAUCACCUUUUACCACGGCUCAGGGUUUGAAUCCAGGAACAGCUCACAAUAUGUAGUUCUUGCAAACAUUUCUCCAGGAUUGCAAGUAAUGUGGGCAUCAUUAGCUCGAGAAUUAGACUUGUCAUCUGUCAAUCGGACAGUUGCCAGUUCAAUUCCCCGGCCCAGUUUCAAAACAGAACGUGUUAAAACAUGUUAUGUAUGUUCUGUGAAGAAAGCUGUAGUGUAUGAGCUGAUACACAUGAAAGAUUGCUCCAAAUGGUAUACCAAUGAGUUUUAUUAUUACUAGUGGCUAAAUAUCUAUCCCAAAUUAAUUGGAUUGCAAGGGGUUUGUAAGAUGGGCAGCACGGAUGGUGCCGACUCACAGCAAGGAGGUCCUGGGUUCGAAUCCCCAUCGGCCAGGGCCUCUCUGUGUGGAGUUUGCAUGUUCUCCCCGUGUUCGCAUGGGUUUCCUCCGGGUACUCCGGUUUCCUCCCACGGUCCAAAGACAUGCAGGUUAGGCUAAUUGGAGAGUCAAAAUUGCCUGUAGGUAUGAGUGUGUGAGUGAAUGGUGUGUGUGCCCUGAGAUGGGCUGGCGACCUGUUCAGGGUGUAUUCCUGCCUUUCGCCCAAUGUAUGCUGGGAUAGGCUCCAGCCCCCCUGCGACCCUGUUCAGGAUAAGCAGGUUAAGAUAAUGGAUGGAUGGAUGGGUUUGUAAGAUGCUCUAAGGAGAAAUAUGUAAAGGGCUGUUGUUCCAUUUCUCCUAUCCAGCAUGGCAUGUAUUACAUAUAAGAAGCUCUGUUCCCCAGGGGACCCCAUAAGUCUUCAUGUUCCAUUUCUCCUAUCCUUACGCAUGUGUUCAUGUAGGUAAAUAUAAAACAAUAUACCAUGUAGGUCGUAUUGUGAUUUUAAGUCCUGGAACGUCCAGAAGCCAUUUCACUCAAAAAUGUCAAAUCUGUUAACAGUGUAUAGUUAUGAACAAUGGGAGUUUUCAAAUGUGAGAUUAUGGGCCCGAUAGCAAUUUAGCCUGCCUUGGUGGCAUAGCAUCCUGAAGUCUGUGGGGAUGUACCAGCCUUUUUUCAAUAGCUCGCCAGGAGGCAUUAGGAUCUAUGCCAGUUUUAGUCUAAUCUUGUGUAAAAUAAAGGACUCUAGGCUCACUGUUUUAGAUCGGCCACCAUAGAUACGGUGGGCUCUCAUGAUUUCAAACAUUUCUGUCAGACAGAGAGGGAAACCAUUUUUGAGGGCAUUGGGGAGAAAGCCAACUAGAUCGGAUCUUUAAGCAUUCUCAGGGAUUUCCGGAAUGCAGUAGCCACUGGCUUGGAGGGAUGGGGGUCAGGGCAGAGGCCAAGAUAACAGGAGAUGAAGAAGAAGCCCACUGUAGAAGGAGCAGCACACCAUCUAUGAAGUUGUUUGUAUAUUUCUUCUGAAUUUUGGCUUUGGAUAAUUCUGGAAAAACAAAAAUUAGAAAUUCCAAGGUUAAGCAAGAGGAAAGAUGAUCCUGCACUAUUUGUUUGCCAUUUUCCUGAUAGGGCAUGCUCAAGGAGGUAUUGUUUCUACAACACAACCUGGUACCAGUCCAACUUCUGGAACUACAAAUGAUAUUGUAACCCAAACUAAUGGCAUCAUUCAACCAACAACUGUAUCUGGAAACACAAAUUCAGUUCCAAUAACUAAGCCAACUAUAACCCGACCAUUUGACCAGUCAGCUGCACCAGAAACUGCA